rnacentral:rRNA from 1 species
AGAGUUUGAUCAUGGCUCAGGACGAACGCUGGCGGCGUGCCUAAUACAUGCAAGUCGAGCGAGCUUGCCUAGAUGAUUUCGGUGCUUGCACCGAAUGAAACUAGAUACAAGCGAGCGGCGGACGGGUGAGUAACACGUGGGUAACCUGCCCAAGAGACUGGGAUAACACCUGGAAACAGAUGCUAAUACCGGAUAACAACAUCUAGCGCAUGCUAGAAGUUUGAAAGAUGGGUUUCUAUCACUCUUGGAUGGACCUGCGGUGCAUUAGCUAGUUGGUAAGGUAACGGCUUACCAAGGCAAUGAUGCAUAGCCGAGUUGAGAGACUGAUCGGCCACAUUGGGACUGAGACACGGCCCAAACUCCCACGGGAGGCAGCAGUAGGGAAUCUUCCACAAUGGACGCAAGUCUGAUGGAGCAACGCCGCGUGAGUGAAGAAGGGUUUCGGCUCGUAAAGCUCUGUUGGUGGUGAAGAAAGAUAGAGGUAGUAACUGGCCUUUAUUUGACGGUAAUCACCUAGAAAGUCACGGCUAACUACGUGCCAGCAGCCGCGGUAAUACGUAGGUGGCAAGCGUUGUCCGGAUUUAUUGGGCGUAAAGCGAGUGCAGGCGGUUCAAUAAGUCUGAUGUGAAAGCCUUCGGCUCAACCGGAGAAUUGCAUCAGAAACUGUUGAACUUGAGUGCAGAAGAGGAGAGUGGAACUCCAUGUGUAGCGGUGGAAUGCGUAGAUAUAUGGAAGAACACCAGUGGCGAAGGCGGCUCUCUGGUCUGCAACUGACGCUGAGGCUCGAAAGUAUGGGUAGCGAACAGGAUUA